rnacentral:misc_RNA from 1 species
AUGUUUUUGGGGGAGUGCUUUCGUUUCGUGCUGCUGUGAAGCGUAAGAGCUGCGCUGACCGGGCAUUGUAAUCAGGCGUCAUCAACAAUAAUUCCAAAUAUGGUUAACUGUGCUGUGUUGGGAUGCAACAACGAGUCAAGGCGGAAAGCUGACUGUGGUGAAAACACGACGAAAGUCAGUUUUUUUUCUGUUCCGACUGUUGUUCGUCGGCAGUGCAACCAGACCCUCGAGGUCUCAACGAAACGUCGGGCGGAAUGGUUUCGUCGCCUCAACCGUGGUUACAUUAAUACCAACGCUACUCACUACAAGGUCUGCAGCGAGCACUUCGUUUCUGGAAGGCCAUCCUACCUGAUGGACGUUACAAACCCAGACUGGGCACCCAGCUUACACUUGGGGUAUGACAGAAACUCAGCUGCUAAAUCUGAAGCAAGGCACCAGCGACGUUGCAAGAGGGCUGCGACCUCAAAGGAGAUCCAAGAGGGCAAUAGCAGAGUUCUCCAGCCUUCAAAUGUGUUGAACGUGCAGCACAGCGCUGUGUGCAGAACUGUCACGGGUACAAUGGCUUAUUCAUACAUGGGGACUAUUUCCUUUAAUGACAUUCAGCAUCUUUAUAGCACCUUGAUUCUAUACAGGCACACCACUUGCACGCCCUGUUACAGCACAUAACAAGGAAGCUGAUGAGCCACAUUGCGCACUCAACAGCGGUUCAGGUCAGUGCCCUAGAUAAGCUGUUCAUACAGGCUGGAUUUUACAUCACAGUGUGCUUGUAAUGGAAUUAUAUUGUUCCCGAUGGUCUUUGAGCUAGCAGGCAGUGGCAAGUUGUGUACUUUUAAUUUUUGCAUGGUUGGUCUUUCUGACAAAAAUUACAAAACCUCACUAUUUGCUCAUCCUCUACCCUAUUGCUUGCAGUAAACAGCGUCAUAUAUCCAACAGUCCUACAGCGUAAACUAUUUGGUGCUUCCCUCUCUCUGGAGUAGUGGGCCCAUUAUGUGAGCACAAAAUUGGUGGUUGUGAAAUAGCAAUGACAACACUUCAAUGCAGGUCAAUCCAUGCUGCAACAAGUACCAGCUUCAACCGUAGCUCAAGAUGCUGAUGAUACUGUUGCUGACGUUUAUUGAGUGAUUUGUGUUUACACAGUUCAAACGGCCCGAGUACUUUAAUUUAGGAACAUAACUUCAAUGAUUGACAACACCUCAUUGCAGACCCACCAUCUGUGCAAUCACCCGAGGAAGGCAGGGCCUCAGCUGAAAUGGGUUCUCCAGUUGGAGUUGUAGUGGAUGCCUCAUAUUGUGAGUACUGCAUUCGUUCAGUUGGAGCAAACCGGAAGUGUUUAACACAAGGGAUUCUAAGAGUCACAUUCCUGCAUUUUUUAUCAGAUGUAAAGUUUUCUGAAGCUGGUGUUCAAGCCACCACUUCGACAGCUGAAGCUUCAGUAAAUACCACUUCAUUGCUAAAGGAUGCUGAAACUCAAACUGACAUCACAGGCAGUGUUCUGAAGAGUUUUGAAGCUGAUAACCAGGUCCUACGCACCGAGUUACAGGAGGUGAAGGGCUCUCUGGACACACUUCGGCUGUCGAAAGCUUCUUUGGAGCAUGACAACACCCGUGUGCAAUUUUACACGGGCCUACCAAGCUUCACAGUUCUGAUUUCACUGUUCACACUUGUCGAAAGUAGUGUGCCACGCAGCCCAAACAAUGCUCUUGCGAAAUUCCAAGAAUUUGUACUCACACUAAUGAGGCUGCGAUUGGGAGUGGCCUUGCAGGACCUGGCGUCCAUUGAAGAAGCAUUGACGGGGGUCUUCAAUGACCGUAAUUUCUGCCUCUGAAACUUGUACGAACUCUGAACGAAGUUUCAGACACCGAUGCAGUAAGGACAAAAGCAGGAAAUAAAGUUCAUUUUUCUACCUGAA